CAAAUCUUGACAUCCUCUGAUCCCUCUAGAGAUAGAGUUUUCCCCUUCGGGGGACAGAGUGACAGGUGGUGCAUGGUUGUCGUCAGCUCGUGUCGUGAGAUGUUGGGUUAAGUCCCGCAACGAGCGCAACCCUUAAGCUUAGUUGCCAUCAUUAAGUUGGGCACUCUAAGUUGACUGCCGGUGACAAACCGGAGGAAGGUGGGGAUGACGUCAAAUCAUCAUGCCCCUUAUGAUUUGGGCUACACACGUGCUGCAAUGGACAGUACAAAGGGCAGCGAAACCGCGAGGUCAAGCAAAUCCCAUAAAGUUGUUCUCAGUUCGGAUUGUAGUCUGCAACUCGACUAUAUGAAGCUGGAAUCGCUAGUAAUCGUAGAUCAGCAUGCUACGGUGAAUACGUUCCC
rnacentral:rRNA from 1 species